rnacentral:rRNA from 1 species
AUUGAACGCUGGCGGCAUGCUUUACACAUGCAAGUCGAACGGUAACAGGCCGCAAGGUGCCGACGAGUGGCGAAUGGGUGAGUAAUGCAUCGGAACGUGCCCAGUCGUGGGGGAUAACGCAGCGAAAGCUGCGCUAAUACCGCAUACGACCUAUGGAUGAAAGCGGGGGACCGUAAGGCCUCGCGCGAUUGGAGCGGCCGAUGUCAGAUUAGGUAGUUGGUGGGGUAAAGGCUCACCAAGCCGACGAUCUGUAGCUGGUCUGAGAGGACGACCAGCCACACUGGGACUGAGACACGGCCCAGACUCCUACGGGAGGCAGCAGUGGGGAAUUUUGGACAAUGGGCGCAAGCCUGAUCCAGCAAUGCCGCGUGCAGGAAGAAGGCCUUCGGGUUGUAAACUGCUUUUGUACGGAACGAAAAGGCUCUGGUUAAUACCUGGGGCUCAUGACGGUACCGUAAGAAUAAGCACCGGCUAACUUAGUGCCAGCAGCCGCCGUAACAC